AUUGAACGCUGGCGGCAGGCCUAACACAUGCAAGUCGAGCGGAUGAAGGGAGCUUGCUCCUGGAUUCAGCGGCGGACGGGUGAGUAAUGCCUAGGAAUCUGCCUGGUAGUGGGGGAUAACGUCCGGAAACGGGCGCUAAUACCGCAUACGUCCUGAGGGAGAAAGUGGGGGAUCUUCGGACCUCACGCUAUCAGAUGAGCCUAGGUCGGAUUAGCUAGUUGGUGGGGUAAAGGCCUACCAAGGCGGCGAUCCGUAACUGGUCUGAGAGGAUGAUCAGUCACACUGGAACUGAGACACGGUCCAGACUCCUACGGGAGGCAGCAGUGGGGAAUAUUGGACAAUGGGCGAAAGCCUGAUCCAGCUAUGCCGCGUGUGUGAAGAAGGUCUUCGGAUUGUAAAGCACUUUAAGUUGGGAGGAAGGGCAGUAAGUUAAUACCUUGCUGUUUUGACGUUACCAACAGAAUAAGCACCGGCUAACUUCGUG
rnacentral:rRNA from 1 species